UCCAGGGUACGAGCCGGCCGUCCCAUUACUACGUGCUCUGGGAUGACAACCGGUUCACUGCGGAUGAGCUGCAGAUCCUCACGUACCAGCUGUGCCAUACCUACGUGCGCUGCACCCGCUCGGUCUCCAUCCCGGCCCCGGCGUACUACGCCCGACUGGUGGCGUUCAGAGCACGGUACCAUCUCGUGGACAAGGAGCACGACAGUGGCGAGGGCAGCCAUAUAUCUGGACAGAGCAACGGCAGAGACCCCCAGGCCUUGGCGAAGGCUGUGCAGGUUCAUCAGGACACUUUACGUACCAUGUACUUUGCUUGAAAGCCUAACUUUUGUUACCUCACUCAAGAAAGCUUUCAGAUUUGUAGGAGCCAUACAAAAAAGGAAGCAUUGGGACACCUUGGUUUUUUUCCAAUGAGAAAUCACUGCAGGGCAGGCAGCGUCAAUUUGAGGCAGGAGACCAGCACCACGGGACAGAAAGAUCCAACACCUUUGUAGGAUUGGAAGAGACUGAUGAUUAUUUUUUUAAUUUUUCUGGCUUUGCAAAAUUUUGACCUGACCAAACACAUGAAGGCAUUCAAGGAAGGGAUAAAACUCCCAGGAGGCGGAAGCAGGUUUUCAUUUUUAAGAUGCAAUACUAUAGACUCCUGACUGUGAAAUGGCGGAUUUGGUCCUCCGUUGCCCACCAGGCGCUGGUAGGUAUUUUUUGUGGGGGUUGGGGGGAGGGAAUUUUUAGAGCCUUAAAACAGAAGACUAGAUUUAUAAAACUAAUAUUUUAGAAUAUGAGAUGCUUUAAUGGGUUAAGGGGAAAA